AACGAACGCUGGCGGCGCGCCUAAUACAUGCAAGUCGAGCGAGAAGACGUAGCAAUACGUUUGUAAAGCGGCGAACGGGUGAGGAAUACAUGGGUAACCUACCCUCGAGUGGGGAAUAACUAGCCGAAAGGUUGGCUAAUACCGCGUACGCUCCUUGGACUUCGGUUCAGGGAGGAAAGCGAUACCGUGGGUAUCGCGCUCUUGGAUGGGCUCAUGUCCUAUCAGCUUGUUGGUGAGGUAACGGCUCACCAAGGCUUCGACGGGUAGCUGGUCUGAGAGGACGAUCAGCCACACUGGCACUGCGACACGGGCCAGACUCCUACGGGGAGGCAGCAGUAAGGAAUAUUGCGCAAGUGGGCGAAAGCCUGACGCAGCGACCGCCGCGGUGGGGGAG
rnacentral:rRNA from 1 species